rnacentral:rRNA from 1 species
AUUGAACGCUGGCGGCAUGCUUUACACAUGCAAGUCGAACGGAUUUUGGAGCUUGCUCCAGAGUUAGUGGCGAACGGGUGAGUAAUAUAUCGGAACGUACCCGGCAAUGGGGGAGAACGUAGCGAAAGGUAAGCUAAUACCGCAUACGAACUAUGGCUGAAAGCGGGGGAUCGCACGACCCCGCGCGUUUGAAGCGGCCGAUAUCAGAUUAGGUAGUUGGUGGGGUAAAGGCCCACCAAGCCAACGAGCUGUAGCUGGUCUGAGAGGACGACCAGCCACACUGGAACUGAGACACGGUCCAGACUCCUACGGGAGGCAGCAGUGGGGAAUUUUGGACAAUGGGCGAAAGCCUGAUCCAGCCAUUCCGCGUGCAGGAUGAAGGCCCUCGGGUUGUAAACUGCUUUUGUACAGAACGAAAAGGUUUCUACUAAUACUAGGAGCUCAUGACGGUACUGUAAGAAUAAGCACCAGCUAACUACGUGCCAGCCGCCGCAGUAA